UACGUAGGGACCAAGCGUUGUUCGGAUUUACUGGGCGUAAAGGGCGCGUAGGCGGCUUAACAAGUCACUUGUGAAAUCUCCGGGCUUAACUCGGAACGGCCAAGUGAAACUGUCAAGCUAGAGUGCAGAAGGGGCAAUCGGAAUUCUUGGUGUAGCGGUGAAAUGCGUAGAUAUCAAGAGGAACACCUGAGGUGAAGACGGGUUGCUGGGCUGACACUGACGCUGAGGCGCGAAAGCCAGGGGAGGCAAACGGG
rnacentral:rRNA from 1 species